UACGUAGGUGGCAAGCGUUGUCCGGAUUUACUGGGCGUAAAGAGCGCGCAGGCGGUCGUUCAAGUCGCGUGUGAAAGCCCCCGGCUCAACUGGGGAGGGUCACGCGAUACUGAUCGACUCGAAGGCAGGAGAGGGUAGUGGAAUUCCCGGUGUAGUGGUGAAAUGCGUAGAUAUCGGGAGGAACACCAGUGGCGAAGGCGACUACCUGGCCUGUUCUUGACGCUGAGGCGCGAAAAGCUAGGGAGCAAACGGG
rnacentral:rRNA from 1 species